AGAGUUUGAUCCUGGCUCAGGACGAACGCUGGCGGCGUGCCUAACACAUGCAAGUCGAGCGGAGACAGUGAGUAGCUUGCUAUGAGCUGUUUUAGCGGCGGACGGGUGAGUAACGCGUGAGCAACCUUUCCCAGACAGGGGAAUAACACACCGAAAGGUGUACUAAUACCGCAUAAGACCACGGGAUCACAUGGUUCUGGGGUAAAAGAUUUAUCGGUUUGGGGUGGGCUCGCGUCCGAUUAGGUAGUUGGUGAGGUAACGGCCCACCAAGCCGACGAUCGGUAGCCGACCUGAGAGGGUGAUCGGCCACAUUGGGACUGAGACACGGCCCAAACUCCUACGGGAGGCAGCAGUGGGGAAUAUUGCACAAUGGGGGAAACCCUGAUGCAGCGACGCCGCGUGAGCGAAGAAGUAUUUCGGUAUGUAAAGCUCUAUCAGCAGGGAAGAAAAUGACGGUACCUGACUAAGAAGCCCCGGCUAACUACGUGCCAGCAGCCGCGGUAAUACGUAGGGGGCAAGCGUUGUCCGGAAUAAUUGGGCGUAAAGGGCGCGUAGGCGGCUCGGUAAGUCUGGAGUGAAAGUCCUGCUUUUAAGGUGGGAAUUGCUUUGGAUACUGUCGGGCUUGAGUGCAGGAGAGGUUAGUGGAAUUCCCAGUGUAGCGGUGAAAUGCGUAGAGAUUGGGAGGAACACCAGUGGCGAAGGCGACUAACUGGACUGUAACUGACGCUGAGGCGCGAAAGUGUGGGGAGCAAACAGGAUUAGAUACCCUGGUAGUCCACACUGUAAACGAUGAAUGCUAGGUGUAGGGGGUAUCGACCCCUUCUGUGCCGCAGUCAACACAAUAAGCAUUCCGCCUGGGGAGUACGGCCGCAAGGUUGAAACUCAAAGGAAUUGACGGGGGCCCGCACAAGCAGCGGAGCAUGUGGUUUAAUUCGACGCAACGCGAAGAACCUUACCAGGUCUUGACAUCCACUUAAACUUACAGAGAUGUAAGGUGUGCUUGCACAAAGUGAGACAGGUGGUGCAUGGUUGUCGUCAGCUCGUGUCGUGAGAUGUUGGGUUAA
rnacentral:rRNA from 1 species